rnacentral:lncRNA from 1 species
UUAUGUCGGCUCCAAGUCCAGUCUUCAAGUCAGCUACACAGCUUCACUUCACGUAGCACUUCUUGUACGACUUCAUGUAGUACUUCACGACUGGUACAUGGACAUCUUGAGGAGUUGUUUUUCUUCAGCUUCUAAAACUCAUUCGUCACUGCACUAACAAUCUCCCCCUUGAUGAUUGAGUUUUAGAAUACAACACCCAUACACUGCUUCAGCGCUCAUACACUGCUUCAGCGCUCAGACACUGCUUCAGCUCAACCACCAUGCUUCCUGAUGUACUAUAUCUUCAGGCUUCCCUCUUGCCUUCAGGAUCACACCAGUAACUUAGGUGACCCGCUAUGAUAUCACUUUAAGGUGCAAAAAGAGUCUAUUACAGAGAGUAAUACAUACAAGUACAAUGCAAUUUUUUAUUUCACAAGGUACUACAGCAGGAUUACUAUGAAGGUUCAUCUUUACAUAGAGAAAAUGCAUUACUAGGUCUCUUCCGAGUUUACUAACAUGUCACACUCCAGAUAGAGACACUAGCCUAACACGUUCCUAGAUCAAACUAACCCAAGAACCCCUCUGACCCCCUCAUGACCCCUAGCCCUUAUGCUUUGUGUCUACUCUAAUUCAACGCCAAAGCCCUUAUGCUUACGGCCUUCUCUUGAGGUGGUACCUAUCCCAAGGCACGUCUAUGUCUACUUAUACAUGGAGACUUCGUGUCUUAUCCUUGCCCACU